UACGAAGGGGCUAGCGUUGCUCGGAAUCACUGGGCGUAAAGCGCACGUAGGCGGGUUCUUAAGUCAGGGGUGAAAUCCUGGAGCUCAACUCCAGAACUGCCUUUGAUACUGGGAAUCUCGAGUCCGGGAGAGGUGAGUGGAACUGCGAGUGUAGAGGUGAAAUUCGUAGAUAUUCGCAAGAACACCAGUGGCGAAGGCGGCUCACUGGCCCGGUACUGACGCUGAGGUGCGAAAGCGUGGGGAGCAAACAGGG
rnacentral:rRNA from 1 species